rnacentral:tRNA from 1 species
GGUGGGGUGCGAGAGCGGUUUAAUCGACCUGUCUUGAAAACAGGAGGUCCGCAAGGAUCCGUGGGUUCGAAUCCCACCCCCACCG